CCUACGGGAGGCAGCAGUGGGGAAUAUUGCACAAUGGGCGCAAGCCUGAUGCAGCCAUGCCGCGUGUAUGAAGAAGGCCUUCGGGUUGUAAAGUACUUUCAGCGGGGAGGAAGGGAGUAAAGUUAAUACCUUUGCUCAUUGACGUUACCCGCAGAAGAAGCACCGGCUAACUCCGUGCCAGCAGCCGCGGUAAUACGGAGGGUGCAAGCGUUGUCCGGAAUCAUUGGGCGUAAAGAGUUCGUAGGUGGUUUGUUAAGUUUGGUGUUAAAUGCAGAGGCUCAACUUCUGUUCGGCAUCGGAUACUGGCAGACUAGAAUGCGGUAGAGGUAAAGGGAAUUCCUGGUGUAGCGGUGAAAUGCGUAGAUAUCAGGAGGAACAUCGGUGGCGUAAGCGCUUUACUGGGCCGUAAUUGACACUGAGGAACGAAAGCCAGGGUAGCAAAUGGGAUUAGAUACCCCAGUAGUCCUGGCCGUAAACGAUGGAUACUAGGUGUUGCGGGUAUCGACCCCUGCAGUGCCGUAGCUAACGCGUUAAGUAUCCCGCCUGGGGAGUACGCACGCAAGUGUGAAACUCAAAGGAAUUGACGGGGACCCGCACAAGCGGUGGAACAUGUGGUUUAAUUCGAAGCAACGCGAAGAACCUUACCAGGGCUUGACAUCUAACAAACCUUUGUGAAAGCAGAGGGUGCUCUUCGGAGAAUGUUAAGACAGGUGGUGCACGGUUGUCGUCAGCUCGUGUCGUGAGAUGUUGGGUUAAGUCCCGCAACGAGCGCAACCCUCGUCGUUAGUUGGUACUAUCGGUAUACUUAUAGUAACCUCUCUAGCGAGACUGCCGGUGAUAAACCGGAGGAAGGUGAGGACGACGUCAAAUCAUCAUGCCCCUUAUGCUCUGGGCUACACACGUGUUACAAUGGCCGGUACAAUGAGCCGCCAACUCGCGAGAGUGAGCAAAUCUCUAAAAGCCGGUCUCAGUUCGGAUUGCAGUCUGCAACUCGACUGCAUGAAGUCGGAAUCGCUAGUAAACGCAGAUCAGCACGCUGCGUUGAAUACGUUCCCGGGUCUUGUACACACCGCCCGUCACACCAUGGAAGUCGACCACGCCCGAAGUACGUGAGCUAACCGUAAGGAAGCAGCGUCCUAAGGCAGGGUUGGUGACUGGGGUGAAGUCGUAACAAGGUAGCCGUACCGGAAGGUGUGGCUG
rnacentral:rRNA from 1 species